rnacentral:rRNA from 1 species
GCGCGAAAACUUUACAAUGCUGGCAACAGCGAUAAGAGAACCUCGAGUGCCAGGUUACAAAUCUGGCUGUCGAGAUGCCUAAAAAGCAUUUCAUAGCAAGGGCCGGGCAAGACCGGUGCCAGCCGCCGCGGUAACACCGGCGGCUCGAGUGGUAACCGUUAUUAUUGGGUCUAAAGGGUCUGUAGCCGGCCGGAUAAGUCUCUUGAGAAAUCUGGCAGCUUAACUGUCAGGCUUUCAGGAGAUACUGUCUGGCUCGAGGCCGGGAGAGGUGAGAGGUACUUCAGGGGUAGGGGUGAAAUCUAGUAAUCCUUGAAGGACCACCAGUGGCGAAGGCGUCUCACCAGAACGGACCUGACGGCAAGGGACGAAAGCUAGGGG